AUUGAACGCUGGCGGCAGGCCUAACACAUGCAAGUCGAGCGGCAGCGGGAAAGUAGCUUGCUACUUUUGCCGGCGAGCGGCGGACGGGUGAGUAAUGCCUGGGAAAUUGCCCAGUCGAGGGGGAUAACAGUUGGAAACGACUGCUAAUACCGCAUACGCCCUACGGGGGAAAGCAGGGGACCUCCGGGCCUUGCGCGAUUGGAUAUGCCCGGGUGGGAUUAGCUAGUUGGUGAGGUAAUGGCUCACCAAGGCGACGAUCCCUAGCUGGUCUGAGAGGAUGAUCAGCCACACUGGAACUGAGACACGGUCCAGACUCCUACGGGAGGCAGCAGUGGGGAAUAUUGCACAAUGGGGGAAACCCUGAUGCAGCCAUGCCGCGUGUGUGAAGAAGGCCUUCGGGUUGUAAAGCACUUUCAGCGAGGAGGAAAGGUUGAUGCCUAAUACGUAUCAACUGUGACGUUACUCGCAGAAGAAGCACCGGCUAACUCCGUGCCAGCCGCCGCCGUAA
rnacentral:rRNA from 1 species